ensembl:snoRNA Gm25117 small nucleolar RNA SNORA48
UACCCCCUGGCAAUGGGCAAAGAGACACCUUGUUGGUGGUGUUGUUCUUAUAUCAGUCAGGGGUAGAGCAGAUAGUAGCCCUUUGUUCAUCCUAGCUUGAUGCCUGGCUUGGUGGCCAAAGCUGUUUCAUGCCUAGGGCACAUUA